UAGAAAAGACUGUUUGGAUUAAUCCCACCUCAGGUAAGAGCAAACCUAUCCGUGGGAUUGUCUUCGCUCAAGGACCUGGUUGCACUUGGUGGGUAAUGCGGAAAGAUGGGGAAACCCGAUGUGUGCCACAAGGAGACCUCAUUUUAAGUGAGAACUGUGUGUAAGGUUCCAUUGUAUAUAUAUAUAUGUGUGUGUGUGUGUGUGGAGUUUAAGGAAGGUACUGAUUUAGAAUUAUGUAGAUGGUAAUAGAAUAAGGGGUGGAUUAUGUCCUGGGUUGCAGUAUAUUCUAUCACCAUCCUCAUGUACUGUUGAAACCAGGCCUUAUCUCAUGACUCACCAUCUCAUUGUGAGAUGCUCCUCCCCGAGGGAGGAGCCAAGCAUUCCAUACUGGAUAUAAGCUGAGAAUUCGAACACCACGGCAGCCCUUACCUACGGGACUUCCAGAGGACAGGAGCUACUGCUGGACUUUCAGCUGAAGACCAGACCCCCUUUCUUCCAGAGGAUCACGCUUCAACAAGACCACCUCAUCUGGACGACUACCAUCACCCUAACAGGGUUCCAGGCUGUAUUCUGACUCUGUCAGUGUUUUUGAUAUUAUUGCAUUUAUUUUUUUAUCAUUUUCCUAUUAAAUUAUAAUUCUGACUUGCGAUCUCUCACUGGUUUGAUUUCAAACUAGUACAC